GUCCCCGUAGCUCAAUUGGAUAGAGUGUGUGGCUUCGAACCACAAGGUUGCAAGUUCGAGUCUUGCCGGGGACACAA
rnacentral:tRNA from 3 species